rnacentral:rRNA from 2 species
UACGUAGGUGGCGAGCGUUGUCCGGAAUUAUUGGGCGUAAAGCGCGCGCAGGCGGGAAAGUAAGUCUACUCUAAAAGUGCGGGGCUCAACCCCGUGAUGGGGUGGAAACUGCUUUUCUUGAGUGCCGGAGAGGAAAGCGGAAUUCCCAGUGUAGCGGUGAAAUGCGUAGAUAUUGGGAGGAACACCAGUGGCGAAGGCGGCUUUCUGGACGGUGUCUGACGCUGAGGCGCGAAAGCCAGGGGAGCGAACGGG